GAUUUUCUUCCGGGGUGGUGAAACUAUCGAAAGAUACGCACUGAGAAAAACCCGUAGAACCUGAACUGGAUAAUGCCAGCGCAGGAAGAUGAGAAAAUCUGGGC
rnacentral:ncRNA from 2 species